rnacentral:rRNA from 1 species
UCUGGCGACUAUAUCGCAAAGGUUAUACCUGUUCCCUUCCCGAACACAGAAGUCAAGCUUUGCGAGCCGAUGAUAGUGCCCACCAGCGUGAAAGUAGGUAUUGCCAGAU